rnacentral:RNase_P_RNA from 1 species
GCGGGGGAAUGCACGGUCGCGCCCAGGCAACUGGGUGAGGAAAGUCCGGGCACCGCAGGGCAAGGAUGCCAGCUAACGGCUGGUCGGCGAGUCGAGCACCCACACCGGCACCGUAAGGGUGGGCAGCGGCGAAGCCGAAGGACAGUGCCACAGAAACCAGACCGCCGCGCUAUGCGCGUGAGCGCAACGCCCCGGCGCGGGCGGAGGCGCGGUCAGGGUGAAACGGUGCGGUAAGAGCGCACCAGGCCCCCCGGAGACGGGGAGCGCUGGUAAACCCCAUCCGGUGCAAGACCCGACAGUGCGCGAGGGCGGCCCGCCCGUUGACCGCCAGGAUGGUCGCUUGAGGCGGGUGGCGACACCCGUCCCAGAGAGAUGACCGCGCAGCCACGCGAGUGGUGGACAGAACCCGGCUUACAGUUCCCCCGCACCA